UACCAAGGCGACGACGGGUAGCCGGCCUGAGAGGGUGUCCGGCCACACUGGGACUGAGAUACGGCCCAGACUCCUACGGGAGGCAGCAGUGGGGAAUAUUGCACAAUGGGCGCAAGCCUGAUGCAGCGACGCCGCGUGGGGGAUGACGGCCUUCGGGUUGUAAACCUCUUUCACCAUCGGCGAAGCCUCUGGGUGUUCUCAGGGGUGACGGUAGGUGGAGAAGAAGCACCGGCCAACUACGUGCCAGCAGCCGCGGUAAUACGUAGGGUGCGAGCGUUGUCCGGAAUUACUGGGCGUAAAGAGCUCGUAGGUGGUUUGUCGCGUUGUCCGUGAAAUUCCCUGGCUUAACUGGGGGCGUGCGGGCGAUACGGGCAGACUGGAGUACUGCAGGGGAGACUGGAAUUCCUGGUGUAGCGGUGGAAUGCGCAGAUAUCAGGAGGAACACCGGUGGCGAAGGCGGGUCUCUGGGCAGUAACUGACGCUGAGGAGCGAAAGCGUGGGGAGCGAACAGGAUUAGAUACCCUGGUAGUCCACGCCGUAAACGGUGGGUACUAGGUGUGGGUUUCCUUCCUUGGGAUCCGUGCCGUAGCUAACGCAUUAAGUACCCCGCCUGGGGAGUACGGCCGCAAGGCUAAAACUCAAAGGAAUG
rnacentral:rRNA from 1 species